rnacentral:lncRNA from 1 species
CUCGGAGGAGCCACUGGGAAGGACAGGCAGGAACCCGAGCUGAGAGCAGAGUGACCCCGCGCGGGCUGGCAGUGUGCGCAGCAUGGAGACGCUGGACGCAGGGAGGGUGCCCGGCCCAGGCAGGACAGAACCCGGCGGUGCGAGGGUUCAUCACGCUGCUCAGAACAGCACGAUUUAAAACCUGUGAGUGACUUCCUCCUGGACUUUUGUAUU